GAGAGUUUGAUCAUGGCUCAGAUUGAACGCUGGCGGCAUGCCUUACACAUGCAAGUCGAACGGCAGCACGGGGGGCAACCCUGGUGGCGAGUGGCGAACGGGUGAGUAACAUAUCGGAACAUACCCUAGAGUGGGGGAUAACGUAGCGAAAGUUACGCUAAUACCGCAUACGAUCUAAGGAUGAAAGUGGGGGAUCUUCGGACCUCAUGCUCAUGGAGUGGCCGAUAUCUGAUUAGCUAGUUGGUAGAGUAAAAGCCUACCAAGGCGACGAUCGGUAGCUGGUCUGAGAGGAUGAUCAGCCACACUGGAACUGAGACACGGUCCAGACUCCUACGGGAGGCAGCAGUGGGGAAUUUUGGACAAUGGGGCAACCCUGAUCCAGCCAUUCCGCGUGAGUGAAGAAGGCCUUCGGGUUGUAAAGCUCUUUCGGCAGGAACGAAACGGUCGUUGCUAAUACCAGCGGCUAAUGACGGUACCUGAAGAAGAAGCACCGGCUAACUACGUG
rnacentral:rRNA from 1 species